UACGAAGGGGGCUAGCGUUGCUCGGAAUCACUGGGCGUAAAGCGCACGUAGGCGGAUUGUUAAGUCAGGGGUGAAAUCCUGGAGCUCAACGUCCAGAACUGCCUUUGAUACUGGCGAUCUCGAGUCCGGGAGAGGUGAGUGGAACUGCGAGUGUAGAGGUGAAAUUCGUAGAUAUUCGCAAGAACACCAGUGGCGAAGGCGGCUCACUGGCCGGUACUGACGCUGACGGUGCGAAAGCGUGGGAGCA
rnacentral:rRNA from 1 species